CGAGCGAGAAGACGUAGCAAUACGUUUGUAAAGCGGCGAACGGGUGAGGAAUACAUGGGUGACCUACCCUCGAGUGGGGAAUAACUAGCCGAAAGGUUAGCUAAUACCGCAUACGACUCUUGGUUUGCGGAUCAAGAGGGAAAGCGAUACCGUGGGUAUCGCGCUCAUGGAUGGGCUCAUGUCCUAUCAGCUAGUUGGUGAGGUAAUGGCUCACCAAGGCUUCGACGGGUAGCUGGUCUGAGAGGACGAUCAGCCACACUGGCACUGCGACACGGGCCAGACUCCUACGGGAGGCAGCAGUAAGGAAUAUUGCGCAAUGGGCGAAAGCCUGACGCAGCGACGCCGCGUGGGGGAUGAAGGUCUUCGGAUUGUAAACCCCUUUCGGCAGGGAAGAUGGAACGGGUAACCGUUCGGACGGUACCUGCAGAAGCAGCCACGGCUAACUUCGUGCCAGCAGCCGCGGUAAUACGAAGGUGGCAAGCGUUGUUCGGAUUUACUGGGCGUACAGGGAGCGUAGGCGGUUGGGUAAGCCUUCCGUGAAAUCUCCGGGCCUAACCCGGAAAGUGCGGAGGGGACUGCUCGGCUAGAGGAUGGGAGAGGAGCGCGGAAUUCCCGGUGUAGCGGUGAAAUGCGUAGAGAUCGGGAGGAAGGCCGGUGGCGAAGGCGGCGCUCUGGAACAUUUCUGACGCUGAGGCUCGAA
rnacentral:rRNA from 1 species